ACCAGAAGCCUUGUCUAGGAGACUUGUGGAGUGAGGCACCCAUUGGCAGGCUCCACCCUCAUAGAAGAAGUCACCUUAACUGCUCUGUCCUCUUGGGGGCCGGGCUUCUGACAAACCACUACGGUGCUUAGCCUUUGUGUCCUGCUGCCCAGCUCUCCAGGUGCCAGUGAGACCUGCUAGUUCUGCCUUUAGCCUGGUCAUCAACAGCCCUCCGCAGGGCUCUGUCACCAGUCAUCUGCACUGUAGUGUAAGUGCAAACCACAGUGUCUCCUUCCUUCCCAGUUACUUAUACUUCAAGUCAUACUAUGGAGAAUAAACGUCAGCCAGCACAAAAACCCGGUAAUCCUCUUCAUUUGUAUUUGUACAGCUUUCAGUAGCUGACAUUAUUUUUUUCACAUAUGUUGUCUCUUGGGGAUGGAUUAGUAUAACCCUGUUUUACUUGCAUUCCUGGGAGAGACUCAUAGGCUUACAGGCUCUGGCAGGCCCAGAUAGUGCUGGCCUGUGUUAGUCCAAGGACCCUCAGGGGUUCCUUGUGGGCUUUGGAGUGGGUGCUUGGAUCCUGGAACACAUCCCCAAGGUUGGGGACAGAGUUUGCCCUUUGUCAUCCACCAGGGGUUGGCAAGGUGGAGAAGAAACUUCCCGUGAGGUUGCGAAGACUUGAGGCACUUGCGUCACACCUGGAAUUCUGUGGGGAGAGACACUUCUGGGUAUGACACAAGAUAGAGCCAUGCGUGUACCAUCGGACCUAGCUGGUCCCUGGGUCCUUGAGUGAGAGGGCUUCAGGGAAAGGAGACAGGCCCCUUCCAGGAUGCUAGUAGGGGCAGUAAUGUUGGUGGGGACAGAGCUGACAACAGGCUGUGUGGCGGUGGUGAGAGGGGCACAUUAAGGCCUUUCCUGCUAGACACAGAGACUUAGGAAGGAGAAGGGGUGGCCACAGUGAGGCUCCUAUGGGUACAAUGAAGUCACCACAGAGAACACAUUGGCUGCUUGGGCCCCUCUGUGAGGAAGGUGGCUGGGUCUUUUGGUCUGGAAUCUUUGGUGCUCACUCUGCUGGGAGGGGCACGGAGCCCAAUCAGCUGUGGCUUCCACUGCUCUUGUUUGGUGACUGGCCUCAGUUGGCAUGACCUGGGGUGGCAGAGGCUGCCUACCAGUGAAGAACCAGGCCCAGGUGCACGUGUGUGCUGUAAGGACUAGCUCAGCAGACUUGGGGUGCUCACACCCUGCAAGUUCGGAAGAAGGGACUGGCCCCUGACCUGCUCCUGGGAAAUACCUCCAAGUGCUUGGAAUACUCUGCCUGAUAGGACUAUCUUUGGACAACUGAGAACUUGAGCCAUGUUCGAUAGUGUAUGCUAUCAAUGUGAUUUAAAGUAAACACCUGCCUAUGUUCCCUUGAGGUCCUGGCCACACUGUAUCAGUUUGACCUCUGGAGGGACUGAAGAAUGAGAAGCUGAAGUCAGUUACAUAUGUGCUCCAGGAAGCUUCCCCUGCUGGCAAUGCAGAUUGUUCAACUUGUAAUUUUCAACUUUACGAUGGGUUUAUCAGGACAUGACCCCAUCAUAAGUCGAGGAGAACAUGGGCUCUGUGCAUUGUGACAUCAUUGCUGGUAGAAUUAAGCCCUAGGAGAAGAUGACUAGAAGCUUGCACCUGGUUCCUCCUGGAUUCUGCUCUCUGCCCUUUUCCUUUGCUGACUUUAGUCUUUAGCCUUUCACUGUAAUGAGCCAUCGCCAUGGGUACAGCUUUUCUGAGUUCUGUGAGAAAAGCAAUCCUCAACAAGGCUAUGACUUGCCCAAGUAAAUGGUAAAGUGAAGACUUGGCUCUUGUUCCUGCAGAGAUUCUGAGCUCCCAAGGGAAGGAAUACACAGUUAGGAACCAGGAUGAGAACAACUACAGAGCAUCAAAGGAAAAUGUGUGUAUCAGUCAGGAGAGGCAAGGUUAAGCUGCAGUAACAAACAAUCCCCAAAUCUCAGUGGCUUAGAAACAUAGAAGUUUAUUUCUUCUUCAUACAAAUAUACUGUGGCUCUGGUGACUCUCCAGGCAACUUUCUGUGGGACCCUCCAGGUGAAUGCUUUUCUGGCUGAUACAGGAGGGACCCUGAGAUUGACAGGCCCACUAGACCACACCGAUGGCUGGAGCUUUCCAGGAGGACAGGUAUAGUGUUCCCAGAAGAAGGUGACAGGAGAGCACCCUGGACGCGCAAAGCCAAGGCUCCAGGAUCUGCUCCGGGGCCUCUGGGCACCCCUAGGCUCUCACUGCAGGGGUUGUGAUCCAAGCCAGGAAUGUGAACAACUCAGCAGAAUGCAGUGGGUCUGUGAUCUGGCUUGGAGAAAAAGGACUUUAAGAACCUGCCUCAGGGCAAUGUUAGGUGGAGGAGCAGGGAGGAUGGGGUAUAGGAGGAAGAGGUCUUUUACCACUGGUAUCAACUGCCUGCUGAGGUUUUGAUAAACAAAGGAUGUGGCUUAUUCUUUGCCAUGUUGAGGAUAGGAAAGGAAGGAAGGGCCGGAGAAGUAGAGCUGGGUGAAGCACAGAGCAACCCAGUGCUCGGUGCGGGGCUUGAAUCUGAAGUAGCCUGUCUAGGAUUUUCUGAGCCCAGGGGCUACCUGGCCAUGCGGCUGCAAUCUUCCUGCUUCUAUGGUCACCUACCGAUACGUCCUAGCUCCUAGACUGUAGAGGACUGGAUUCCUGUCUCCUUGACUCUGUACCCUCCAUGGGGCCUAGCACAGAGCGUGCACACAGUAGGUUCUCAUAUAUGUUUGUUGUGGACUGGACAGAGCUGUGGGCUAGCAGGAAGGAUGUCUGGCUUCUGCUGUGUGAGCUCCUUGCUGGGCCCCGUUGACCUACAUCUGCAGAGUCAAGCAAGUGAUCCAUUCUUUGUUCCCUGUCUGCUGGAGCAUUGCACGGUGACUGAGUUAAAGCGAGCAGCGUCAUGGAGUUUUCUUUGUGUCUUAAUUACAGCAAUUCAUGGGACUAGGCUUUUAAUAUAAAUAUUUGUGUACCUGUGCAUGCAUAUAUAUAUUUGGACCAAUGCCCUCAUAUGUGCACAUACACGUAUCCCAAAGAAAUCUAUCUCUAACCCUAACAUCUGUGGUGCCCGUGGCGAGGGGGGGGGCUCCCAUUUUACAGAGAGAUGCCCGCAGAACAUGGAUGUCACCCACACUGGUAUAAAGUCAUGUAAUCAAAUGCUUUCGCCCUGGGGGUGGGAGAGGGAUGGGUGCCCCAUGGUGAAUGGCAGGUUAGGGGUUUCCAUAGUGGAUAGGGAAGAAGAGCUGUCCAAUAUGGUGGCCAUAUGCCACAUGCAGUGAUUGAGCACUUGAAAUGUGGCUAGUGCAACAAAAGAGCUGAAAAUUUAAUUUAAAUUCAUUUAAAUUUAAAUAGCUGUGUGUGGCUAGUGGCUAUCUAUUGGAUUGUGAGACUCUAGAAAACAGCACUUGUUCUUGGGGAAGCAGAAACAAAUGAAAACAAGGAUCUGGUGCUCACGAAGGUUCUCGCAGGGUGGAGUGUGUGUGUUGAAGCUGCAGGAAGCAGGAAGCUGGGCAGUCCUCAGCAGAGGACAUUUCCUUCCAUCCUGCAUCCAGAUGGCUGGUCCUGCUCCUCCCAGUCCUUGGAGGAGGAAGAAUUGAAACAACUUAUCCGAGCUGGGUCAGGCGCUUGGCAGAUGUUUGCUGAGUGUGGUUCUGGAUGGAAAUCCCCAUGGAACUCUUACAUUUUCUCCUCUCGUCCCUUCCCCUUUGGAACCUCAGAGCGGGGAAGCCAAAUGGCCAGCCCUUCAUUUUGCUGGUGAGGAAAAGGAAACUCGUGAGAGGAAGAGAUCUGCUUGCAGCUUACUUCUGCAGGGCAGAUAUGAAUCUCACAACCAGGUGUCUGUUGCCUUUUGGUUAAGCUUUUCUUUAGUGACCCUACAAGCCUACCUUCUGUGAACAUUUCCCUCGAAAUGAAGUAGGAAGCCAUCAAAAAUGGAAUAGGAGGGGCUGGGAAUGUAGCUUUCUUAACCCAGACUCCAGUUUUUACAGUCAAGAAAGCACCUAGGAGCUUCACGAUGGUCCAGGUGUCCUCAUGGGUGAUGUGCCAUUAUACACCUGCCUCUGAACUCUGCUGUGCAUUGCAGAGGCUAGAGGUGUGCAAACCACACUUCCCAGGAUUCCUUUCUGGCUUCCUUCCAAAUGGGUUUGCCAAUGGGGGUUCUUGUUCCGGGAACAGGAGGAGGGAGGAAAAAGAACGGCAUUGACUCACUUCCUGUUUCUAGCUGAAGUCUGAGUCAGUCCAGCAAUAGCAGGCAGCUGUGGCACCAGCCUCACUGUGACCCCUCAAAGGUCCCUCUGCAGCUGCAUAAUGUCCCCUUGGUGGCCUGAACAUGAGUUGAACCCCGCCCUUCUUGAGAGUUCUAGCCCCACUUGGUACAUGGUCAACUAGAAUAAAAACUAGUAACACAUUUUCCAGAUUCUCUUAUAGCUACAUUAGGUCAUGUGACGAAGUUCUGGCCAAUGGCAAGGGAACAAAAGUGAUGUGUGCAGGUAGAAGUAGCUUGGUGGGCUGGGCAUGGGUGGUUCACUCUGGGAGGCUGAGGCUGGAGGAUCGCUUAAGGUCAGGAGUUCAAAACUAGCCUGAG